rnacentral:lncRNA from 1 species
GAACUUUUGGCCUUUACAACAAUUUUGAGCUCUAAGAAUCACAGAAAAAGAUCAAGAUUUCGAGUGUAAGUUGUGCUCUUUCAGUGCUGAAUGGGUGGGGUAUUUAUAGGCCCCAACCCAGUUCAAAUUUGGAGCUCAAAACUGUCAAUUCCUGGAAUUCCGGGAUCAGGCGGUUACACCUCCUGACUGGGGCAGUUGCACCGCCUGGCAGAGCUCGAAGAUUGAGCCUCUAGGCGGUGCCACCUCUAUCAGGGGCGGUUGCACCUCUCUGCCAGAGCUCGAAGACUGAGC